AUGGCUCCAAAAGAGUUGAAGGAGUUGAAAGAGCAGUUACAAGAAUUGUUGAAUAAGGGGUUCAUCCAACCCAGCGUGUCCCCUUGGGGUGCACCAGUCCUGUUUGUGAAGAAGAAGGAUGGGUCCCUGAGGCUGUGUAUUGACUAUAGGCACUUGAACCAAGUGAUGAUCCGGUUUAUAUUGCUCCAGAACAGGCAAGGGAAGACGCGUCUUGCAAAAUACUAUGUUCCGCUUGAGGAACUGAGAAGCACAAAGUUGAAUACGAGGUUCACCGAUUGGUCGUAAAUAGGGACCCGAAAUUCACAAAUUUUGUUGAGGAAUCGUUUCAUUUCAUUGUAAUUAGAGGCGACGGUGGUGGGUCUUUGAGUGUAAUUGUCAAUUUUGGCACCUCUAAGGGAAGAAUUUAGUUGGUUGUUUGCAUCAAGCAAUGGAAAGACAUAGUCUAUAUAGGCGUGUCUCAGCCUUGCUGUAUUGUCGAAGAAGUUUUCGAGUUGACGUCCCCAGAGUUGUCUUCUCUCUCCGUUGCACAAUGAAGCCUAGACGCUCUUC